rnacentral:misc_RNA from 1 species
UGUGUUGACUGAAUUAGUUAAAAUAAAAAAUAUUUGUUUGUGUUUGCAUCCACUGGGAGAACUCCCUCCCGAAAGAGAGCUUUCCCCCAACGAACAAAAGAAUAGUAGUAAAGUAAACUCCACUGUGUGUAGUAAUUAGAAAGUGUCGAGUCGUGUGAUAAAACACCUCCUUUGGAAUAGAGAGAUCCACGCACACUCCCAGGUCUUUGUCGGCUCCCUCCCCCCACUGCAGAACACCCACCAACCGCGCACUUAAGCGCAGGCAGGAGAAAUAGCAUUCACAGCAGAGAAAAUAUUUUAGGUGCCUCCUGAGUGUCUACACUGGUGCCUCCCCAGAGAUGUCUCUCUCCUAGCUCAGACAAAUCAAUUAACUUUCUUUAAUGAUCCUU